ensembl:processed_transcript RIKEN cDNA E130307A14 gene
GGGGAGGGGAGGGGGUCGCCCCCGCUCGGAGCGCGCCGCUGGGGAAGAGGCUGGCGGGAAGCCGGGCCGCGCGCCGAGGAAUCGAUGAUUCGGCCUGUGGGCCGGGUCACUGCGGCGGGGCCGGGGGAGCGCCGAUAGCGUGGAUAGGCUCAGAGGGGCGCAGGGUUUUGGCGGCUUCCCGAGUUCCCCUCGCCGACCGCCAUUUCGCGUCUUACGGGAGAGGCGGGGGCUGCCGCGGAGAGGAUAUUUUUUGUUUUGUUUUGUUUUCACAAGAAUUGCCUGGAUGCUUCUAAAGAGGAUGUCUACCAGACCCCAUCCCGCACUAAUUAACUUAGAAGUGGGAACCCUUUGUGAGUCCUUUUUUUGAUACUUCUUAUUUAUUCUAAUGUUAAAGACUGUUCUGGUUUGUUUUCUGUUACUGUGAUAAGACACUUACCAAAACCAACUUGGGAGGAAAGGGUUUAUUUCAUCUUACAAUUCCCAGGGCACAAUCCAUCCCUUGGGGAAGUCAGGGCAGAAACUCCAUGGAAGAACGGAGAAGCUGAACUGAAACAAAGACCAUAGAGGAACAGUAUUACCGGCUCAGUUCCUAGGACUUGCUCAUCUUGCUGUCCUACAUGAUCCAGGACCACCUGUUGUGCCUAGGGGUGUCAUGAUGAGCUGGGCCCUCCCACAUCAAUCAUUAAUCAAAAAAAUAUUCUGCAGACUUGCCUACAGGCCUAUCUGAUUGUGGCAGUUCCUUAUUUGAAGUUUGUUCUUCCCAGGUUGUGGCAAUACUGCACAGAAAGACUAACUCUUGGUUAUUUACUCAAGUGGGUCUGAUUUAUUCUGCAUUGUUUUGGUCUUCUGUUCUAAUCUAUGAGAGAUUAAUGUAAGAAGUAGAAGUAGUCCUGAACAAAGGACAUAUUCUGAAAAUCACAGAAAAUAUGGUAACAAAAAUGAAUGAGAAACUUUUGUCCUAAUCAACCUUUUAGAGGAGUCUCAAAAGGGAGAAAAUUGUUUUUCUGGCCUUGCUGACUCAGAAUAGUGCGCAAAGCCACAAUCAGAUAUUAUCACUCUGUGCCCAGUGUUGUUUCCAGCACACUUGUGGGAGGGCUGUUGCUUUCAGUGUCUCCAUGUUUUCAGUACAUGCCUGAGACCUAGUGGUCUGUUGGGAAUGGCCCCCAAGGCACAUCUAUUUACACGCCUGGUCCCCAGGUGGGAGAACUCUUUGAGACAGCUCCUCCAUGGUGUCUGUCUCAGUUCAGCUUCCAGGUUCUUGCUGGCCAGCCCCCAGUUAAGUGUUUUUUCUUUUUUUUUUGUAUGGUGUCCAAAACACAGUAAGAUUGGUUAUGAUGGUUCUUAAAGGCAGUUGGUUAGUUCUGAAUACAUUGGGUAUAGUGUGUAAGCUGAAUGAGAAAGUAGCUGUAAAUGAUCUUGAAGUACAUUAUUACUGCUCUUGGUUACAGGUUGAGUAAAAGUUUGAGUUGUAAAGGCAAGCUUUAAACAUCAUUCCCAGAAAACCCAUUCCAGCCCCAGAUGACUCUAGUUUGUGUCAAGGUGACAAAAAGUUAUCAACACAAGGACAGCAGCAAAGCUAAAGCUGUGGCUGUAAAGACAAAUUGAGUGGAUGCGGACGGCAGCUCUGCCAUCUCAGGCAUCUUAGCCUGUUUGAGCCUCAGUAUUUUUAUCUGUAAAACUGGACCAUAGUUUAGCAUUAAGUUGUUAGAAGAUUAACUAAGUCAUCUAAAAUGUAGCACACUACCUAUGGCACAGUGUCUAAUUUUAGUUACUGUUGAUAUACUUUUGUUAUCUAUACUUCUAUAAUGGGUUUGAAUGCCAGUUCUGUGAUAUUCACAAUCCAACAUAAAGUUCUGAAAAGCCAGAAAUAUCUUACUAAUGAACAUAGAAAUAUGUGGAAAGUUGAGAUAGUUUGAAUAGUAAUGGUCCCCAUAGACUGAUCUGUUUGAAUGCUUGUCCCCUAGGGAAUGGCACUAUUAGGAGGUGUGGCCUUGUUGGAGUGGGGGUGGCUUUUUUGGAGGAAGUGUGUCAUUAGUAGGUGGGUUUUGAGGAUUUAGAAGGUCAAGCCAGCUUUCUUCCUGCUGCCUGCCCAUCAGGAUGUAGAACUCUCAGUUCCUUCUCCAGCACCACAUCUGUCUGUAUGCACCUUGCUUCCCAUCAUAACAAUAAUGGACAAAAGAGUUGCCAUAGUCAUAGUGGUCUCUUCAUAGCAAUAGAAAUCCUAAGACAGAAGUUAUAUAUGAAUAUACGUGGUGUCUAAUCCUCCUGCCAGAAUUUGAGUGAGAGGCUGAAGUUGAGAGUUUUCACUGACUUACAUCCCUGCAAGACCUCCCCAAAUAUUGUUUCUUCACUUCGAAGAGGAAGGAAAAAGCAAUAAUCAAGUGUGGUAAUAUACACUUGUAAUGCUAGCACAGGUCAGGCUGAGGCAGAAGGGUCACAAGUUUGAGGGCAGCCUGAAUUACAUAGUGAUUUCAUAGUAGGCCUGGGCUAUAAAAGACCCUGGGGGAUGUAGGGAGCAAGGGAACCAAUAAGAGUACAAGCUGAGAAAAUAUAUAGAAAUGUAUAGAAAUGUAUAGAAAAUGUGCCUGCCUCCCUCAUGGGAAAUACUGGGAGGAAGUCAGUAGAAGGCUGGAGGCUUCUAGCUAGGAAAGUAUUUCUCGCUUUAGUAAUCUGUCUCAGUAGUUCACUAGCGUUAGCUCACGGCAAACAAACAACAACAAA